rnacentral:rRNA from 1 species
UACGGUUGCAAAGCUGAAACUUAAAGGAAUUGACGGAAGGGCACCACCAGGAGUGGAGCCUGUGGCUUAAUUUGACUCAACACGGGAAACCUCACCCGGUCCGGACACUGGAAGGAUUGACAGACUAAAGCUCUUUCUUGAUUCAGUGGGUGGUGGUGCAUGGCCGUUCUUAGUUGGUGGAGUGAUUUGUCUGGUUAAUUCCGAUAACGAACGAGACUCUCGCCUGCUAAAUAGUUUUCCAUACGUUACUUUAUGGAACCUAAAACUUCUUAGAGGUACAAGUGGCGUUUAGCCACACGAAACAGAGCAAUAACAGGUCUGUGAUGCCCUUAGAUGUCCGGGGCCGCACAUGUGCUACAAUGAAUGCAUCAACGUGUAUCAGCCUCGCCCGAAAGGGUUGGGGAAUCCGCUGAACGGCAUUCUCAGUAGGGAUUGGGGAUUGCAAUUAUUUCCCAUGAACACGGAAUUCCCAGUAGGCGCCAGUCAUCAGCUGGCGUCGAUUGAGUCCCUGCCCUUUGUACACACCGCCCGUCGCUACUACCGAUCGCUCUUGUUAAUGAGCUUGUCGGAUUGGACCCGGUGAGCAGUCGUUGCGCUUCAUCUCCUCGCGGGGUGGGCCUUCGUCUGCGAGCUUUUGGUGUAUGCCGAGAAGAUCGGCAAAUUAUCUGGAGUNNNNNNNNNNAUACGUACUACUCUGUGCGGUGGAUCACUCGGCUCGUGUGUCGAUGAAGAGCGCAGCUAGCUGCGAGAAGUAAUGUGAAUUGCAGAACCACAUUGAAACAUCGACAUCUUGAACGCACAUGGCGGCCUCCGGGUUACUCCGGAGGCCACGUCUGUCUGAGAGUCGGAAUUGUAGUGCUUUAAAAAUCGGCGGUCACCACCAAAAUAUAUGUCGUAUACAAUAGACACGAUAGGUGGAUGUCCGCGAGGGUUGCUUCUCGGUAGAAAGAUACAUACAAAAAGUAAAAGAGAAGCCGCCGAGUGGCGAGUUGUUGAAAGUAGCCCAGCGAAACAACGGAACAAACCCUCGGAAUAAGAAAGAAAAAGACGUGCUGUACGAAAAAGUGCAA